AGAGACAGCAGUCGCCGCGGUAAUACGUAGGUGGCGAGCGUUGUCCGGAAUCAUUGGGCGUAAAGGGAGCGCAGGCGGGCAUGUAAGUCUUUCUUAAAAGUUCGGGGCUCAACCCCGUGAUGGGAAAGAAACUACAUGUCUUGAGUACAGGAGAGGAAAGCGGAAUUCCCAGUGUAGCGGUGAAAUGCGUAGAUAUUGGGAGGAACACCAGUGGCGAAGGCGGCUUUCUGGACUGCAACUGACGCUGAGGCUCGAAAGCCAGGGGAGCGAACGGGAUUAGAUACCCGAGUAGUCCCUGUCUCUUAUACA
rnacentral:rRNA from 1 species